CGGGUUUGUUAUGCAGGGGCACUAAAUCAGCUUCACAUGCAAAAUCCCAUCUGAAAACUAGGACGGUCUAGGGAGAUGAAUCUGUGGCCCUCCACGCAUGUGGUUGGACUACAACUCCCAUCAUCCCUGACCAUUGGCCAUACUGGCUCGAGGCUGAUGGGAGUUGGGAGUCCAACAAUAUCUCGAGGAGUCCAGUCUGGAAACACAAUUUUCAAGUUACUGAUGUAUGUACCUGUAAAAAGGGAGCUUUCUCACAGCAUGGGAGAGGAUAUAUUUUGACCACCAGAGGCGGCUAGGGUUUGAGGUAGAAAUCCUUAAGGGAGCAGGCUUAAGGAGGGACUGCUGGAAUGGUGUGCUGUUUCGGCAGCACCGUGGAGGUGAGUUGGGUAUGCUCUGGGUUUCUUCACGUCUCUGUCCUCUAAAGAUAGUGGUUUGUUUCCUGGGGAGAAAACCACCAGAUCUGGAUCUGUUGAUGUGCUACAGUCAGCAAGCACUUCCAGCCAUGAAGUGGAUAAGGCCAUCUGCGAUCUGGGGCAGGAAGGGCCCAAUCACGCGAUGUGGGCAUGAACUUCCUGUUCUGAGUACAGCUCAGGCAGGGUUGAGAGGCCCAGAGUUCAGCAGAUCUAGAAGCUGGGAGGGUGGUUCACAGUAGGGGCAGUGGUGACUGGUAAAGUGGGAGCCCAGUAAUGGGUGGAGCCACAGUUCAUGGCAGUCAGAGCCAACCGAUUCAGUUCUAGUUUUGUCCCAGUCUUCUCCCUCCACACAGCGGAGUUCUGCAAGGGCAGCCUUGGCACUGAGGAGGGGGAAACCCGCACCCCCGCCGGCUGUAUGCAAGAAGGCAGGCAGGUGGGGGCUGGCUGAAGGCAGACAGAGAUUGGUGAGGCAAUGCCCCAAUGGCUCUGAAGGACCAGCUUCCGUUGAAUAUAGGCCCUUUGGACAAGGGUGGGCAACCUUUCUUCUGUCAAGGACCGCAUUCCCUCAGGGGACAUUGGUCACGAACCGAAACAGGGCUGGAACCUACUCCUUUUCUCUCUCUCUCUCUCUCUCUCUCUCUCUCACACACACACACACACACUCUUCCAUAAAGGACGUAAGGAAAGCCUGCAGGAUCAGGCCAGUGCUGCAUCUAGUCCAGCAUCCUCACAGUGGCCAACCAGAUUCCUGUGGGAAAACAGCAAGCAGGAUUUGAGCACAAGAGCUGUGUCCCUUCCUGUGGCUUCCAUAAAACUGGUAUUCAGAAGCAUUGCUGCCUGCAGCUGUGGAGCCAGAGUAAAGCCAUCGUGGCUAAUAGGCAUCGAUAGCCCUCUCUUCUAAUUCUCUUUUAAAGCCAUCUAGGUUGGGCGCCAUUACUGCCUCGUUUGGGAGCGAGCUCCAUAUCUUGGCGGUGUGAAGAAGUAGCUUCUUUUAUCUGUCUAGCAUUCAGCUUCAGUGUAUGGCCAUGAGUUCUAGUCUUGCGAGAGAGAGGGAGAAAAACACUUCUCUUAUUCACUUAACACACGAGCUUUUAAACUUCUAUCGUGUCACCACUUAGUCGCCUUUUCUCUGAACCAAAACAGUCCCAAACGCUGCAACCUCUCUCGUAGGGGAGUUCCUCCAUUGCCUUGAUCAUGUAUCGGUUGCUGAACCGUUUCCAACUCUACAAUAUCCUUUUCGAGGUUCUCUCUCUCCCCCACCCACCUUCUCUUAAAUUUCUGUAGUAGGCCACAUUCCAGCCACACAAGCCAGGGGUUUCUCCGAUCCAUACGUAGGAGAGAGCAAGAUAUGUUCUCAACAGUUCAGGGAAACUUUCCAGCCAAGCAGAACCACUUGAGGAGGAUGCAAAACAGGCCUGGUGAAGAAUUGUCCCUUGAGGAGAUUUCCACAGGCCAGGCAGAGAAGCCUGGAGGACUGAAGUUGUUCCUUGUGCAUGAGAUCCCCCCCCCAAUGGCUUUGGGGUUUGUUUCUCAUCCUAUGUUUUCUUUCUUUAUACCCAGCCCUUCCUCCCCAUGGCACAGCAAACAGACGUGAUCUAAAAAUGGAAACCAAACGAAAAACAACAACAUUCUAAAACGGAUUGAAAGCGGGUUUUGCGUUUACCACAACAAAAUGGGGGAGGAAACCAGCGCACCCAAUAGCCACAUAAAAGUAUGACGUGGCUCUUAAUGCUAAAAAUGCACGGAUGCUGCUGUUGUCUCUUGUGGUGUAAGGGGGGGGGAGGGAUAUCUCCCUAAGACUGUGAGGGUUUUCAGCAUGGUUGGAGGGAAGGGAAGCUGGUACAGUGGUACCUCGGGUUAAGUACUUAAUUCGUUCCAGAGGUCGGUUCUUAACCUGAGACUUCUUAACCUGAAGCACCACUUUAGCUAAUGAGGCCUCCUGCUGCUGCCGCCGCGCCACUGGAGCCCAAUUUCUGUUCUCAUCCUGAAGCAAAGUUCUUAACCUGAAGCACUAUUUCUGCGUUAGCGGAGUCUGUAACCUGAAGCGUAUGUAACUUGAAGCGUAUGUAACCCAAGGUACCACUGUACAUUGAAAGAUCAUUGACUACUGAGGCUAAAGAUUGAUAUACCUUCUCAAGAGAGAAGGGUGAGGGCUUCCUUUUUCUAUCAUAUCAGUCUUCAGCUCACGUCAGAGACAGUUAUUGGUAGCUCUUCGUAUCCUAACAUUUUAAACGGUCACAGCUUCAGUGUCGUGCUACUUUGAGCUGCCAUGCCCUCCUUAAAGAAUCAUGGAAACUAGUUUGUUAGUGGUGCUGAGGGCCAUUGGGAGACACCCCCCCCCGACAUAGAGCUAUAAUUAUCAUAGUGAUUUAAUAGUCAAUCCCUCUCCUCUGGGAGCUCUGAGAGUUGUAGCUCUGGAGGUCAUUUAUGAACUGUAGGACACCCCUGCUCCUAACAGCAGACUUAUAUGGUGACUUAUAUACAGCAGCUAAAAGGGGAGCCACUGAGAGAAAAGUGAAGUAUCAACCUGCUUGGGGGAACCCUGGUGUUCGUAGCAGUACAAAAAUAUUUUUGAAAAAACACUUAAACGGGUAGCCCCACCCCACUUAAAGAACAACAGCAGCCUAAUGAGAACUGAGCAUGCUCAGCUGCCUUGCUGUCUGGAACCCUGAACAGGAGCACUCCUGUUAGGAUGCGAGGAUAUGCACAUUUUGCUGCAGUCUCUCUGAUCAGAACAUAGCUGUUAUAAAUAACUAUCUUCAGUUUUCACCGUAUACUAACCUGUGACCUAAACCGUUUCUUGAUUCUGCCAGAAGUAAUUUACAGCUGGGCACAUACUGAAGUGACGCGCUGAAGAUUUGAAAGCCUUAGGAGUGACACAUCUUCCCAAUCGGUUGCUCUUUUGACCAGAGAGAUUACAGGUAGUAAACUCUUCUUCUCCAGCAUGUUUAUCCAAGGAGGAGUUGCCUUAUAGUGGAAUGGCUGCUAGCCGUCAAUGGCUGUUAUCCACAAUGGCUGUGCAGUAAGGUUUUUGAAUACCAGUUGCUGGAAACCACAGGAGGCGAGAAUGCUCUUGUGCUUAGAUCCUUACAUGUUUCUGAUGGGAAUCCGGUCAGCCACUGUGAGAACAGGAUGCUGGACUAGAUGGGCCUUUGGGCAAUCCAAAAGGUUCUUAUUGUGUUCCUAUGGAAGCUCAUCCAGCUCAGGACUAUGAACAGGACCCUAGGGCCAGGGGGAGGGUCUCAAGCAGGGGACUUUCCAAGCCCUACCCUGUGAAUGUUUUAACACGGCUGAUGCCCAGGAAUGUUCCUAGGACACCAUCACUCUUAACCUGCAAAUCUCUCCUCCCCAAGCUGGUGACUGGCUGGACUUGGUCUCGUCAAAUUGCAGAAGGCACCCACUGGAACAGAGCCUGGUUGGCUUCAAGACGAUGUUCCUGUAUUCAGCCAGUUUCUCUAAAAGACAUUUCUCUUCCUUGCAAGAUGUUCCAAGAACAAAAAAAAAUUAUUGGUGCCCAGGCAUGAAGAGACCAGUGUGUGUGGAUGCACCUAGAGUGGAUCAGAUAUCUUAAGCCUCACAUGCACAGGGAGGUUCAGAAAAAGAAAUUGCUUUGGAAUGACACGAUCACUCCCGCUGAGCGAGCAGACACAAUGGCCACGGGGAUGUCGUGUCUGUCCAAAGCUCUUUCAAGGAUCCCAGCUGGGCCCAUGAAAAAAAUACAGCAGGGUGAACGAGUGAGCAGCUUUUCCAGUCCCAAAGAAGACAUUUCAUGCAAUGUCAUGCGUCUUGUCUAUAGCACAGAUUCACUCAUUCAUUUCAUAGCAUGUCCUCCUUGCACACAGAGUAAAUAGCUGCUUCUAGUUUCUCAAGGGUAUAUUUCCUACAGCUGCAUAAUCUUGCACAGGAAGUGAAAGGAGAAGUGAAUGCAUGAGGUUUCUACCGCACUGGAUCUGGCCCAUGCAAGUUGACAGUCCUUUCAUAUAAAUUAUUGUGUGUGGUACAAGUAUACAUGUGAGAUGUCAUGUGAGUCAUGCUGCGUGUAAGGAGGAAAGGAACUCACAAAUUAGAUGCUCGUUCUUUUAUUUGCAUGCCAAGCCAAAAGGACAUUAAUCUAAGAGCCAAACAGAUAACAUAAUAAACCAACUCCCCAAACAACAGCUCUGCAUCCAAGACUCCUUCCUUAUUCUGGUUGCCGUACAGGCCCAAAUGGGAAUGUUGAUAUAAUUGUUUGCUAAUCAAAGCACAUGUUGUAAAAUAAAAGAUUUUAAAAAAAGAAGUUCUCAGGAACUAGAGGGAAAGAAUCAAGCACAUUUCAAAUGGUUGAACAUGUAAAUAAGUAAUAUAGGUCCUCUGUCAACCUGCAAAUGGUAAGUAAACACACAAAAUUGCUUAGGACUGAAUAUACACAAUUGCUACAGUUUCUGUUAUUAUCUACUCUAGCCAACAUGGUGCCUCCAAAUGUUGGAACUCCAUCUCCCAUCAGCCUCAGCCAGCAAAUUCAGUGAUCAAGGAUGCUGGGAGUUGUGGCCCACAAACAUCUGGAGGAGGUUGAGGAAGGUUAUUGGCAAGGUCCCUCCAGAAUGAUCUUAAGGUGGAGGAUUUCCCUUUAAGACUGGAGAAGUCAGUGAUAGAACCCGGGUCCUUUGUACCUGCAAAACAUGUACUUUACUACUGAGCUAAAGCCUCUCAAUAUUGGCAUAUUUAACUCAGGUCUUCCACUGGAUUAAAAAAGGGUCAAAACUGAAAAGCUGCCACAGAAGUGCAUUUUUCCUUAGCUGGAAGCUUCCAGCGCAGCCUUGCUUGGGGCAUGUCAAUAGAGCCCAAGAACAUUGUCUCGGCUUGCCGUAUGAGCCAUGCCAAAAGCGAUUUAGCAGUCUAGUCCAGUGACUAAGGUUCUGUCAGGUCUCCAGUUGCAUCUGGAAGGACUAGAUGGCUCUAGUUUGGAGAUGAACUGCAUAAUCCCUUGUGUGUUUAUUCGGAGGUAAGCAACGGGUGAGCAUACAUAGGACAAGAUUAACAGGCCUUGAAUCUCGAACUGACAAGGACAUAUUUUAGUGCCCAAGCUACAGAACACCAACAGCCUUGUUGCUUACAAUAGGGUUUCCAGCAGGAGCUUCAGUUCAAGGGGCUAGGCUUGCUGCUGCUGCACCCUUGAUAAUAGUAUUCCCACCUAUCCAUUUCCCCCCAGGCUGGAUGCAAAGCAGCUAAUUUCUGUGGGCAUGCAAUGGAGUGCCAAGGCAACCGUAGUGGGGCUUGGGGGGGGGGGGAUCUUCUGCCACGGCUGACAGUCAGUAGUUGGUCUGGCGUGCGAAGGAAUUCUCAGAUCAUCUCUUGGCUGUGGGUGGUGCAGAGAGUACGGCUCCCCUUUUUAGAUUCUUCCACCUCAACAAAGAGAAGUGGAUGCACCAGGGUGUCGAAUGAGAACGGGUUUUGAGAUGCUGAUGUGAGGUGUGUUGUGCUCUCUGCUGAGAAAUAAAACAUGCAACUGCACCAAAAAAAGGGAAAGAUUGAAUUCUGACUUGUUGAUUACUCAGAUCCAAUCAAAAUUACACGUGCCCUUUGUUUGAAUAAUGAACACUUACAGCAGAGGGUAGGGGAUCUCAGGCCAGGGAAUGGUUGGAUGUGACGCUCCAGGCCCCCUAGACCCUCCCCAGGCCACACUCCAUUGCUGUCUCUGCUUCAAGGUCUCCUUGAGGGCUCACAUGGACAAGAGGAUGGAGAAAUUAAGGCACAGAAGCCUCUCAAGGUUUGCAUAGCUAGAAAUGUAGCCUACUGCACCUAUCCAUUCUUAAGGAAAUCAGCCCUGAGUGCUCACUGGAAGGACAGAUCGUGAAGCUGAGGCUCCAAUACUUUGGCCACCUCAUGAGAAGAGAAGACUCCCUGGAAAAGACCCUGAUGCUGGGAAAGAUGGAGGGCACAAGGAGAAGGGGACAACAGAGGACGAGAUGGUUGGACAGUGUUCUCGAAGCUACCAGCAUGAGUUUGACCAAACUGCGGGAGGCAGUGGAGGACAGAAGUGCCUGGCGUGCUCUGGUCCAUGGGGUCACGAAGAGUCGGACACGACUAAACGACUAAACAACAACAACAAGCACAUAUGAAAGAGUCGUAUCCAUUGUCCUGCCCACUUUUGCCUCUGGUGCUGCCCACCACUCGCCUGCAGCUCCCAGAAGGCUGCCCACAAAGGGAUGCAGCCCUUGGGCCAGAGAAGGUCUCCUUCCCUGCUUUAAUGUGUAGGACUGUAGUCUCAAGAGCUGAAAAUUACAUUCAAAGAAAGAAAGAAGAGCGAGCAAGCAAACUCAGGUUACUGAAUGCUGUGGUUUUAAUGUGCUUAUGCAGGGCUCAGCAAACUUUUUCGGCAGGGGGCUGGUCCACUGUCCCUCAGACCUUAUGGGGGGCCGGACUAUAUUUUUUGGGGGGGGAAUGAUGCAAGAGCCCCAUGAGCCCCAGUGGCUGCUUACCUGUGUCUUGUGAGCGACAGGCUGGCGGCGGCGGGGGGACGAUGAGCAAUGUGCGAAAGGGCUCUAGAGAGGGGCUGCUUAAAAUGGCCGCCACUCGAGCACUGCUGCUGCUGGCACCAACAAAGCCUGUCCACCUUCCUCCUCUAGGCAGGGCGGGGAGAAGUCAGGAGGGAGGGGGAGGUGCCACGGUGCCAUGAGAGGGAGAGGGAAAGAAUGUGCGUGCUGGUGAUCCACGCGGCAAUUCCCGGACCGUCUGUGGGCCAGAUCCAGAAGGCAAUUGGGCCUGAUCUGGCCCGUGGACCUUAGUUUGCCGACCAUAUGCUUAUGUGAAAGCGGGCUGAGGCAUUAUCUUUAUCCUUUUUCAAAUAAACAUAGGUUUCAUAGACUCAUAGGGCCAAGGGCUUCUUGGAGGUCAUCAAGUCCAACCCUCUCUGCCAAUGGAGGAAACAACUUCAGUAUCCACUGGUAUUCAGCCUCUGCUUAAAGCUGCCCAGCAAAGGAGAGCCUACCACCUCCUAAGGCACUUUGUUCUUCUGUCCAACAGCUCUGGCUGUUAGGAAGUUUUGCCUAAUGUUGAGGUGAAAUCUGUUUCCCUGUGAUUUCUACCCAGUUGGUAUUCAGCUAAGUGGACCCACUGGCCCCAACUUAGUCGCUAAGUGCAAAAAUUCAUUUUGCAUACAUGGUUAAGUUUUUAAAGAGGAACCCCAUGUAGCCAGAACAGUGCAAGAAAGAGAAAAAAAAACAGAGAGAAAGAUGUCUGUUUAGAUCAAAGAGCCUUCUCUGGCAUAAUCUAAUCUUCUUUCCCGUGUAGCUGAUAAUGAGGAAGGUUUAACUCAACUCUGCAUCUCUCAUUCACAGAUGUGAAAACAAAGUUGGAAGAUACAGUUUGUGGAGAAUCAGGGUCCAAAUAUUCUCUCUGAUGUUUUCACCUUGCAUGCUGUUAAAGCAAGACAUAUAUGCCCCCAAUAAAUAUGUGU